AUGAUGUUUGGUGGCUAUGAGACUAUAGAAGCAUAUGAAGAUGAUCUUUAUAGGGACGAGUUAUCUAGUGAACUGAGUGUUGAUAGUGAGGUGGAAUUUCAACUCUAUAGCCGAAUUUAUUAUGCCCAAGAUCUUGAUGAUGUCAUCAGGGAGGAAGAACAUGAAAAAAAGAACUCUGGGAAUUUGGAAUCUUCGAGUAGUAAACCAAAUCAGAAGAAGCUAAUUGUCCUUUCAGAUAGUGAGGUCAUCCAGCUGUCAGAUGGGUCAGAGGUCAUCACUGUCUGAUGAAGAUAGUAUUUAUAGAUGUAAAGGAAAGAAUGUUAGAGCUCAAGCACAAGAAAAUACCCAUGGUCCUUCUGCUUUUCUUCAAUCUAAUGAGCUGUUUGAUAAGAAAUGCAAGAGUGAUAUUGAAGAGAGAUCAGGUGUAAUCCAAGAGGCCAUGAUUAUAGAGGUCAGUUCAAGUGCAGAGGAAGAGAGCACCAUUUCAGAAGGCAAUAAUGUGGAAAGCUGGAUGCUACUGGGAUGUGAAAUAGAUGAUAAAGAUAAUGAUAUCCUUCUCAACCUUCUGGGAUGUGAAAACUCUGUUACUGAAGGAGAAGAUGGUAUAAACUGGUUCAUCAGUGACAAAGACAUUGAGGCCCAGAUAGCUAAUAACCAAUAACCUGGAAGAUGGACCCAGCGAUAUUAUUCAGCCAAUGAAAACAUUAUCUGUAGAAAUUGUGACAAACACGGCCAUUUAUCAAAAAACUGUCCCUUACCAUGAAAAGUUCGUUGCUGCUUCCUGUGCUCCUGGAGAGGACACCUCCUGUAUUCCUGUCCAGCCCCCCUUUGCAAAUACUGUCCUGUGCCUAAGAUGUUGGACCACUCAUGUCUUUUCAGACAUUCUUGGGAUAAACAGUGUGACCAAUGUCAUAUGCUAGGCCACUAUACAGAUGCUUGCACAGAAAUCUGGAGGCAAUAUCACCUCACGACCAAACCCAGACCACCCAAAAAGCCAAAGACCCUUCAAAACCAUCAGCCUUAGCAUAUUGCUGUCACUGCAUGCAAAAGGCCAUUAUGGACACAAGUGUCCAGAAAGAGAAGUGUAUGACCUGUCUCCAGUAUCUCCAUUCAUCUGCUACUAUGAUGACAAAUAUGAAGUUAAGGAGAGAAAAAAGAGAGUAAAAUAAAAAAUAAAAGUACUCAAGAAGAGUGGGGAUAUCCCAGAGCCAUCCAAGCUACCUUACAUAAAAGCAGCAAAUGAGAACCCCCAUCAUGAUAUAAAGAAGGGCUGUGCCUCAUUAAAAAGCAACAGGUGGCCUCAAGAAAAUAAAGAAACACAAAAAGAAAUGAAGAAUAAGAAUAGAAAACUGGGAGAAGCACAGGAAGGCUGACAGACAUCGUGAAGUGGAUGAGGAUUUUCCCUGGGGCCCCAAAACCUACUCUUCUCCUGGCAGUUUUAAAACCCAGAAGCCUUCCAAGCUCCAAGCCCUUUCAUCAUUCAUCGCAUUGCCAUAUAUCGAGAGAAGACAAGUCUCCCAAGGAGGGUAAGAAGGGCAAGAGAAGAAAAAGGAGAGAUGCUUGGAAGAUGAUGACAAUGAUAACUUAUUUCUUAUUAAGGAGAGGAAAAAAAAGUCUUAA
rnacentral:lncRNA from 1 species